UACGUAGGGGGCAAGCGUUGUCCGGAUUUAUUGGGCGUAAAGAGCGUGUAGGCGGCCAGAUAGGUCCGUUGUGAAAACUGGAGGCUUAACCUCCAGCGGUCGAUGGAAACCAUCUGGCUAGAGUCCGGAAGAGGAGAGUGGAAUUCCUGGUGUAGCGGUGAAAUGCGUAGAUAUCUGGAGGAACACCGGUGGCGAAGGCGGCGUCCUGGACCAACACUGACACUGAUGAGCGAAAGCCAGGGGAGCAAACGGG
rnacentral:rRNA from 1 species